GAAUACAGCAUGCAGGGUGAGCCGCCAAGCAAAAGGGAAAAUUAAAGGAAUCAGAAACAGAAAAAAAGUGGAACGACAAGAAUCAGUCAACACCUUUCAGUAUUAACUUGCAAUAUAACGAAGCACAAGGAGGAACCGUCUGAUUCCUUGGCUUUCCUGGAAAUGCCGGGAUUCUGUGGACCCAAUGUCUACACAGCAGCAGUGGCCUUCAGGAACCAGGAAGCAGUACAGAUCUUUGAAUCUGCUUUAGGCGUGUGCAGCCAUCCUCAGGACUGCCUCUGUCCUUCAGCCUCCAUCGCAGACUGCAUGCCAGGGGAGCCUUCCUUCAGGCUGCACAGCAGAGAGCAAGACAUGAGCUGGAUGGGCCUCCUGGGAAGACGUGUCAUCAGUGCUUCCCUCAAGCAGCUUGUCUGGAUUUUGUCAACGGAG
ensembl:lncRNA